UGAAAACUAAUUGGUGAACGUUUGGAGA
rnacentral:piRNA from 1 species